rnacentral:tRNA from 1 species
GGCGGUGUGGCUCAGUGGCAGAGUACUUGCCUAGGAUGCAUGAGGCACUGGGUUCCAUCCCCAGCACCUCAU